UACGAAGGGGGCUAGCGUUGCUCGGAAUUACUGAGCGUAAAGGGAGCGUAGGCGGAUAGUUUAGUCAGAGGUGAAAGCCCAGGGCUCAACCUUGGAAUUGCCUUUGAUACUGGCUAUCUUGAGUACGGAAGAGGUAUGUGGAACUCCGAGUGUAGAGGUGAAAUUCGUAGAUAAUUCGGAAGAACACCAGUGGCGAAGGCGACAUACUGGUCCGUUACUGACGCUGAGGCUCGAAAGCGUGGGGAGCAAACAGGG
rnacentral:rRNA from 1 species